UUUUAGUGUUAAUGUGUCACCAUUUUAUUUUAUAUUGCCAGGAGGUGGUGGUUAUCUGCCCAUGUAUGCUAUGCUAAGAUAUGCUAAACUAAAUAUCUCCUGGAUUUAGCUUUAGCUAAAACUGGAAGCAAGAGAAAGCUGUCCACUUUCCACCAGAGGACACUGUUGCUCCAGAAAAUAGUCUGCAGCACAGUCUGCAGCCAUGUUGGAUCAACAGCUUCCAAUUCCCUGGAUCUCGCUGCUUACUCUCAUCCUGCUUCCGGGACUGAAUCAUUUUUU